GUGAUUCAAGGAACACAUAAAUGAGUUGGAGGAAAAAGGGAAACGCUUGCGGGAGACAAAUAACUUGCUAAAAAAGAUGAAGACAUGACUUUCUUGGUGGUUAAUUCACAUGAGAGGAUCAUUUUUCCCUGUGCAGUGCUAUUAGCCAUUCCAACGGAAGUAGAUAUUUGGCUAUCUUCUUCAGCUACAACUCUCACACCAAAAUAUCAGCUACGACGUACCAGCUCGAGCACAUUCUAGCUUUGAUUGGUCGUUUAGAAUCGAAGAAAAUUUUGUUUAUUGUUUCAUCAUAUUGUUGCUGCAUUUCAGCAUACAUACCAUUUUUUUUUACAAAAACAAUAAUGAGUCAUUGUUGAGUUUUUUCGCGGGAUCUGAUUGAGUAGUGAAAUAAAAUUAUGAG